UUAAUCUAAUCCUUAGGGUGCGUUUGGUUCGCAUUAUGAAAGAUUACUAAGAAUAAAAGAUAUCCGAAAAUUUUAUUCCUAUUCAUUCUAUUACUAAGAAUAUGAAAUUCCUGUGUUUGAUUCGCACGGUAACAUUAAUAAGCCAUAUUAUUUAAUAUUACAAAAAAUAUACAAUUUAUUUAUUUAUUUAAUUUUAAACAAUGUUACCAAAUGUUUCAAUAUCUUUUUAGAAAAAAGGGAGAGAGUAUAAGUUAGAGAGAGAGAGCAUAAUUAAAAAAAUAGAAAGAAAAAUAUAGUCGAAAUUAGAGGGAGUAGGAGAGUUGAAAUUUUAGAAAGAGAAAGAGAGAGAGAGAGAGAGAGAGAAAGCUUAGUUUAGAGAGAGAAAAAAAAAUUGAAUUUUAGAGAGAAAAAUAAAUUUAGAAAGAGAUAUAAGGUUAGAGUGUAAAGAAAAAUAGUAUCAAUUAACCGGCGGGUAGGAAAAAAUAAAGUGAUUAGACAUAUUAUGAUUAUCCCAAUCCAUUAAUAUGAGGAUACCCACCAUCCCUUAAGGGAAUGAGAUUAGUACUUUGGGGUGAAUCUUAUUCCCAAGUGAAUCCAAUAUUACCAACUAGAUUACUUAGUGCAUUUAGCAAACCACCGUCAUAUUUUUUUAUUCCUAUUAGAUUACUAAGAAUCUUUAAAAGAUAUCACGAACCAAACGCACCCUUAAUGUUUUCGUUUGUU
rnacentral:lncRNA from 1 species